CUUAUACUUCCUUCGUCCAGAAAUACUUCAUAGAAAUGGAUGUAUCUAGAUGUAUUUUAGUUCUAGAUACAUUUAAUUCUAUUCAUUUAUGCGACAAGUAAUUUCGGACGAAGGGAGUAUUAA
rnacentral:pre_miRNA from 1 species